CAGCAGGACCCCCCGCCUGGGGCCGCGGACCGGGCGCGGUCGGGCUCGGCGGGCCGUGGCUUCUUGACAGGAGGAGGGGGACAAGCGCCUCCUCCUCCAUUGCCGAACCGAGCCCUCUUUUAUCGCAAUUUUCCCGGCCCGCUGACAGCCGUCUUCCAGUGACAAGAAACUUAAGGUCGGCGAAAAAUUGAGGACCCGGAGCAGCGGGUGCCUCUGGUCCGACGUACGACCGUGCCGUGCCCUCCGCGGGACCCAGCCGUGUAUGUUGUCGUCUUUGAUGCUAAAGCGUGAGAUGCCCUGGGAAUGUUAAUAGCAAUAAAAUGAAGAUCAUAAUAAAACAAGCCCCCUACUUAGCCCUGUGGUUCUUAUCUAUCUUACCUACUUGAUGAAGAUGUCUUUUGAACAGUGUACUGCCAAGAUAUGAAAUGCUGUUCAUUUCAUGAAAAAGUAAAUUAUGCUUUUUACCAAGCAUGGAGCGGCCUGAUGUAGGAUCUCACUUCCCAGUCCAGGGAUUGAACCUAGGCCACAGCCAUGAAAGCACCAAGUCCUAACCUCUAGGCCACCAGGGAACUCCCUCUUUAAUGUGAAUCUUAAUAUGGCCAUUUAUUUUACAUAUUAAGUUUUCAUUUUUUCCACCUUCUUUGGAAAAAAUUGCUAAUCUUUUCAUUCAGGUUUAAAUUGAUGCCAGGUAAUUCCAGUAUUGAGCAUCUUAAAUCUCUUACUUGGAAUAUGGAUUGAGUUUGGCGCUAACUCAGAGGACUACAGGUGGAUAUUACUAUCCCUUAUUCAUGGAAAAAGUUUUAUUCUAAGUGUUGUGUCUCAUUGAGUAUUAGCAAAAAGGAGAAAUAUUAAUGCUUUUGAGAUAGAUUUGGCUCUAGUAAGUACUGAGAUGUAUUAUUUGCAUAUCUGGGAGAAGAAAUGAGAGACCAUCAUCAGUACAUUUCCAGCUAAAAUUCUAUAUUUUCUUGCAUCUCAUGAAGGGAUUCCUUAUAAUUUCUGUUUUAUUACUAAUAGCUUGAACCCCUUUAAUGGAGAAUUAAUUUCUCCACCAGAGUUUAAAAAUUUAUGUUCUUACCUUGUUUAUUUAUAAAAUAUAUCCCACAGAUUUCUGAUGUCUAUUUUUUAGGCUAUAUACAAGUAAGAAAUGUUGGCAAAAUAAAUAAGUUUAAACCUUUUAUAUUAAAAUUACUAUGCAGAGUGACAAGUUAGUUGCUGUUUUUUGUCUUUAUUAUACUGAAAUUAAAUUCAACAUUUGUAAUUUCUAUUUGGGUCUAUUUCUUGAUUAUUAAUACAUAGGAUUCAUGCAAAGCUUCAUGAAUAACACAUUUAGAUUAGCAUAUUAAUGAAUGCAGGUCCCCCUUAAUUCUGUGGGACUUUGAAUAAUCUGAUAUUUGUUAUUUCUUAUGAUUGGACUUUGGUGUUUUGAAAAAAAUGUAAACUUCCUAGAGAAUCUUGUUAUUGUUUAUCUUAUGCUGUAGGGUUAGAUUUUGCUUGAGAAAUUUGCUGAGAAAAAAAUUUUUAAGCCACUUUUACACUAAAUGUUCCUCAAUAUGAUUAACCUGUUAUUAAAGCUAUUCCAUAUAUCUUUAUUUUAUAAUUUAAGUUUAUCAUGGAUUAUUCUAUUAAAGAAUAUCUUUAGAAAGUGG
rnacentral:lncRNA from 1 species